AUACUUACCUGGCGUAGAGGUUACCGUGAUCAACAAGGCGGUUCCUCCAGGGUGAGGCUCGUCCAUUGCACUACGGUUGAGCUGACCUCUGCGAAUAUCCCUAAUGUGGAUAUCUCGGGCGUAGAAUUUUUGGUAGUCGGGACUGCGUACGCGCUAUCCCGAA